rnacentral:rRNA from 1 species
UGCGCAGGCGGAUCGAUAAGUCAGUGGUGAAAUCCUACAGCUUAACUGUAGAACUGCCAUUGAUACUGUCAAUCUCGAGUAUAGUUGAAGUGGGCGGAAUGUAUCAUGUAGCGGUGAAAUGCAUAGAUAUGAUACAGAACACCGAUAGCGAAGGCAGCUCACUAAACUAUUACUGACGCUCAGGCACGAAAGCGUGGGGAGCAAACAGGAUUAGAUACCCUGGUAGUCC